AAGUAGGGCGAGAUCGUCGUAAUCGGUGCAGUAAGAAGAUGGUGGUUGUUGUUGAGAGGCCUUAUUGCAGCAGUCCGGACUCAUCCAAGAAGCAAGCCGGUGAUAUUCGGGUAAAUGCCAGUGAUUUUUCCUGGGAAAAAAUGGAAGAGAAAUCCAGCUAUGGUAAACUGAAUUUACAACAAAUGUGUGACAAUGUUCUUAAAUCGAAUUCAAAAACUGAGCAGGCGAUGGAGAAGGACAUUGAAAUGGAUUGUGAAUCUGGUGGAUGCAAUGCCCAAGAACCGAAAUCAGAAAAUACAUUUGCUGUGGAUGAAUUGAGACUUAUUUCUCCUUGCCAGGGAACGGAAAAGAAUCUCAGAAUGUCCCGUUCCAGAAUGGUUGCUGUCAAGAGGUCUAAAGACUCCAGAUCGAGUUCUGUAUCCUCCUCAAGCAGUUCCCGAUCUGGUUCAGUGACAUCUUCAGGCAGCUCCCGAUCAAGUUCUGCAUGCUCUCCAGGCAGCUCCCGGUCAAGUUCAAUGUCAUCAUCGGGUCGUUCCCGGUCAACAUCAAUAUCAUCCUCAGAAAGGUCGCAGUCAAGUUCAGCAUCAUCAGCAAGCACCCGAUCAAGUUCACUGUCAUCUUUAGAGAGGUACGGUUCAAGUUCAGAUGAUGUCUCUUUCUCUUCAAGAGGCAGAUAUGUACCACGGAGGAGGAACUAUAGAAGAUCAAGACGAACCUGUUCAAGGUCCCGGUCUAGGAGCUGGUCACGGUCUUGUUACCGAAGAUCCAGAUGUCGAAUGUCUUACCGGUCUCCGCAAAGAUACAGGUCUAGACCCAGAUAUUCUAGGUCAUACCGAAGACCAAGAUCCAGCUUGAGGUACAGAAGAUCCAGGUCCAGAUCGUGGUCUCGGUCCCCAUCCAGAUUCCGGAGUGGUUACUAUGGCUUUGCAUACAAAACACAACCACGAUCCCACCAAAGGAGCCGAAGCAGAUCGAGGGACAGAUCUUUCCACUUAACACAAAAAGAUAAACAGAAGCUACUUGAAAUAGCAAAGGCAAAUGCUGAUAAAUUAUUGGGAAAGAGUAACAUCUGCUUGCCUCCCAGUUUGAGGCCUGCCAGUCCUCUCAACAAUGAGAGACUUUUUGAAAUGAAAACUAACAGUGAUGCAGUGAAAGCACUGACCAGAAAGGUGAGUGGUAGACUAUUUAUGUUCAAUAAAUUGUUUUAACUGCAUGCCUGUGUCACAGCAAGUGUUUUCUAUAUAGUUAUUUGAGAAGUUCUCAUUUGUACAGUGAAUUGCUUAUCUUUUUUUAAAGUGGCUGUUGUCAAUUUACCCACGUUGUGACAUUCUUGCCGAUUGAUGUUCCUGCGGUGAGAUGGAAUACACUGGGUUAUAACCCUUUUCAACUGUACCAUUGUUACAGUGGUUUAAUAUCUAAAUUACUGCUUGAUAAAGAGACCACUUUUAUUCACACAACUGUGCAAGAAAUUGCCAUGUGAGCUAUUCUUAAAAAGCAAAAGCAGAAAUUAUACCAUGCUGUAUGGAAAAGAAACAAUUUACACUUGCAUUGUGCUUUUUGUGACUUCAGGUUUCCCAAUGGUUUUAUAGCUAAUUAGUACUUUGUGUACUUUUUGUUAUAAUUUACAGUAAUCAUUAAAAUCUGUAGCUUGUCAACGUCAUUCAAACAUUUCCCUUAUAUAAAAACUAAAGUUGGUUUGCGUGACUUGAUUUAUUUCUGUUUUAUAGAAGCCUUGAAAUGGACUGCACUUCUUGAAGAUAUGAGGUGGUAUCUUUGUAUCUGCGUGUGUGCAGUGUUUGGGGGCAGCUAGGCAGCUAAAAUGAUUAAAGGACAGUUGGCUUUCAGAUAUUCCAUGUUAUAAAUGAAACCGGGGCAUCAUAUCACCACUACCAAAUAUUAAGUGGGAAGGUUCCUUAGGAUUUUUGUGUAUUGUUAAUAUAUUAGUUUUUGAGGAUGUCGACUGGCUCGCUGAGCUGCUGUUUGAUUGCAGACGUUCUGCCUCCCUGCUAGGUUACAUUCAGUGUGCCUCCGGUGAAGUGUUGAUGUUCUGUCCCACGUGUUUAUACAUUUUGGUCUACUAGGGUGGUUGACAUCCUUCUGGUUUUUCAGUGGUUUGUAUAUCACAAUCUGCUGUUACCUCCACAACACACCACAAAAGACUCAACAUGGCCAGACACACUAGUCACCCUACCGUACAUCAGAGCCAUAUCAGAUGACCACAAGAUUACUCAGACCCCUAGGUAUCAGAGUAGUCCACAAAACAACAACCACCCUAGGACAGCUACUGAUGAACAUAAAGGAUCCCAUACCCACAACCAGUAAAACCAACUUAAUAUACAAAAUACAAAAUUGAGAAAAUUGACUAUGAGCAGUUCUCAUUAGUCUCUGUUUGUAUAGACAAAGAAUGACAAUUCAACUGGAACAGCACACCUAAUAACACAAGCCAAACAGACAUGCAAGGGAACUCCUGAAGGACUGGAAUUCCAACUGGAACUCCAUCAACAAACACAUUGAACUGGACCUGCUAUACAAAUCACUGAAAACUAAAACCAGAAGUGAUACCAACCGCUCAAGGAAACCAAGGAUGUAGAUAACAAGCAAGACUGAACAUGAAUGCUUCACCAGAGGCGCACUGGUGAUGUUACCUUACAAGGUGACGAAAGAUCUGCAGUCAGACACACCGGUUCGGUGAGCAAGUCUACAAUCUCAUCCACAACACAAGCUACAAAUCUUCUCUAAAACUUUAAACAUUAGUUUUUGUCACAGGACUAAGAGAUGAGCCAUUUGGCUCUGCUUCUGGGUAACCCUAUAAUUAGUUACCUGCCCACCAUUAAUAUGUGGAAGGAUAAACCAGUGUACAUAGACUACUUUUACUGCUCCUCCUGUUUUUUGUUUAUUGGGUCAAGGAGCUUCGUGAUCUGUCAAGCCAGAAGUAUGGUCAAAUGGGCAACUAAGGAAAAUAUGUUUAUUUCAUGAUUCCACCUGCUCCCUGGCCUUUGUUACAAGCCUAACUGAGUGGUACCUUAUCAAAGGUAUUUUGAUUACUGGGAAAUAUUUUUUAAAAUGUUGAAAUAUUUAAAAAAACUUUAAGAACUUGUAAGAGAAUCUAAACUGUUGAGUAUUCCAUAACUAUAUAGCAAAUCAAUAAAGCCCAGUUCAAUUUAAAAUAGAUUUGCAGUGUAUUUUCAGUGGAUGCCCAGAUAAUUUAAGGUAUUUUGCACUGUUAUCAAUGGUUCAAGUCACCCAAGUGACCUCGAAUACCAGAAUCUUCUGCAGAUGAAGUUUGUUUCAAAAUGUUGGCAUCUUUUUGGCUGUGUUCAAAUGGAGCCCAGACUGUCUGUCUUUUUAAGGGGACUAGGAUUGCCUGUCUCUCUCGUUCUGAGCAGGCCUGUGCCUACAGUUUAAACUAGAUUGACAAUUUAAUUUUGGCAACAUGUAAUCUGAUGAAAGUGGAAAGGUUAAGUUGCCAGUGUUCUUUCACGGUUGAGAUGGAUAUGUAGUGAGGAGGGAACUGCAGUUUCAAUGUGUCCAUGUUGCACUUGACCUUGGAGUGCUUGGUCUAUUACUGGGUCCAAAAGCAUUUGGUGCUCACUUGGAGGAAUUCAAAACAAUGUGACUGUACAGUGCUUUCUGCUAUAAUUGUGCACCUGACAGAAUUUACUUCACAAACUAAUCCCUAUGAUGAGAUCAGAGUUAAAAGUAUUAAAUUUUCCAAAUCAGGACUAUUGUGUUUGCGUCAGUUCCUUUGUGCACUGCAAUGUCUCCAGUUGAUCAGUGUUAUUCUUUGCCUUACUUUGUAAUGUGAGAAAUCAUAUUUAUUGCAAAUUCACUUCCUCCUGAUGCUUUACUAGAUGCUGCUUUUGGAGUCAGUAUUGAUCAUGCUUUACAGCUUUGCUCUAGGAUUUUCUUGUCCUCAUAACUUAUUCACUGUGUUCCAGGAAGUUUUGAAUAUCAGAUCUUUGCCGAAGAAGAGACCAACAGUUUUUGAAGAUAAGUUUAUUGGCUUUUAUAGCCUAGAAAAUAUACCUUAUCAACAGCUGCAUACAGUCCUACAUUUGUAGUAGAGAUUAACAUGUUAUUGAAAGUGCUCAGAAGCAUUUUGAGCUCUGAAGUCGAAACUGUCAUUGAAAUGACAAACAUUCAUUGGGAAUUCACGUUGAUCUGACCCAUUGAUUAUAUUGAAGGAGUCAAUACCUAUUCAGCUUGAUCAGUGGAUUAGAUAUUUUGGAAUUUUUAUCAUUCUAAGUCUCAUUCUUGUAACCUUGGGUCAGCAUGAUAAAAUAAGGUUUGAUGUGCUCUAUACUGUUAAUUGUUUUGGUGAAAUCUUACAGAACUAGUAGAGUGUCAAGCUAGAAACAACAGUAGCAAAUUCUGCCACAUCAGGUAGAACAGUAGUGUCAUUUAUUACUCAAAACCCAAUACUUUAAUGUUGGAUCCGUCCAACCAGGGCUAAAAAUGCUUCAUUCAGAAGGGACUGCCUGAAGUGGGUCACAGUAUAAUAUGUUGGCCACAUUUAAGAUUAACCUGUAGAUUUUCUGUAUUUUUGUGCAGGAAUACAAAAAAGAAGCUGAAGAUGAUGAACCACUUCAGAAAUUAACCAGUGCCUCUUCAAGAAUUGAAACAAACCAUUGGAUAGCUUUCAGUGUUAAAAAUACAGUGGCAAAACCAUUGAAUCAA